rnacentral:rRNA from 1 species
UAGGCACAUGGUGGGUGGUUUAAGGUCGUUCCGUGGAUUUGCUUCAACCCUAGGUCAUUCAUGAGUACGGUAUUAUGACAUUGUCCAUAGAAGGGUGGAAAGGCCGUGGGGGGUGGAGAUUCGGUAGGACAAGAAUAAUCCUUGGGUAGACCUGGGAGUCGGGUUGUUUGAGAAUGCAGCCCAAGUGGGUGGUAAACUCCAUCCAAGGCUAAAUACUUGCACGAGUCCGAUAGCGAACAAGUACCGUGAGGGAAAGUUGAAAAGUACUUUGAAGAGAGAGUAAACAGUGCGUGAAACCGCUCAGAGGUAAACGGGUGGAGUUGAACUGCAAGCUUUGGGAAUUCAACUGGUGAGUGUGGUUUUAGCUUGGUAAAAUUGGUGGACAUUGGGGUCUGCGUAGUAGCAGGUCUUCGCCUUCGGGUGGGGAUGCGCGAUGCACUUAUCAAGUGUUGUGCGCCUCAGUGGUCAUACCGACCAACUCGCUAGUGCACUUUCUCAGAGUGUUCACCACGACCGGCGCCGCUGUCUGGCCUCUAUAGUUAAACCGGUUUUGCAUUGUCCUUGUGGCUUUGCUUAGUCGGGACGGCAGGUAGCUCGUUGACUUGCUUGUGGUUCGCUGCAAGCGUGGUUUUCGAGUGUAAUCAGCUGACUGUGGUGGUUCUGUGCAGUGUGUCGGAGACGGCGGCUUGAGGUGUGUGCUCUAACCAGGAUUCCCUCAGUAACGGCGAGUGAACAGGGAGAAGCCUGUUCAUACAGAUCUGGUAGUAGCUCGAAUUUGUUAGGCCGGCGACUGCCUGUGUGGCAUUUUACCAAGGUGCCAAUAGUCUGUGGUGUGGAGUAGACGAUCCAUCGUUGG